CGAGAAAGAACGGGAACUGUCCGCAGCCAUAACAAUGCCCUCAAUGGUGCGAAACUUCUCACCGUGCAUUAGGACAGUGUAUUCUGAGGUUGUGGGCUCAGCCCCUGAGAAAGCAAAAGGGAGUGAGAUGAAGGAGACUGUAAAGCUGCUGUGAAGUGUCAUCGAGACCCAGAAGAUAAUUGAUCAUGGAAGACUUGCCAACGCUCCAAGGGCCAAGAAACAGGACCAUGGGCUUAGAGUUGAUCUCUGCAUCUGAACAGUGUGAGGAAAGCAGACAGUUUAACUGAGGAUAGGGCUUCAUUUUGACACUUUUUUUUAUGGUAGUAAAGGAAUGAUGUUGUAAAACAUUCAUUUACCUGACACUUCAUGCUGUCUGAGCUCAUUGUAUCUGUAGGCCUUCUCCAAGGGAUUAAUUGCAGAGUUGUAGACAUGCUGCAGCUUCUUCAGAGCAUCUAUGAGAAGUAGAGUUGAUUGAAUGAUGACAGGAAGGUAUAUAGAAAGAAAUAAUAAUAAUAGCAGAAUGAGCUUGUUUAUAAUUUUUUUAUCAUUUUGGGGAUUGAUUUUAGUUAUAGACAUUGCUACAUAAAUUAUAUAAACAGUCCAAUGAAGAUAUUAAAUGAGUUAAAUGAAUAAAUAUGAUAUUAAAUUAAUUAUUGUUGUUACCACAUUGUGGUAAGUUCAAUACAUUCUUGAAACCGUAAUAAGGAAGAUAUUGUUGAGCAAACAAAAUUGUUUUGGUCAAGUUAAAAUGUGAUUGGUUAAUGUAGAAAUAACUGGCCUGAUAUAUACUGUACAGCCCAGGAAGUAAUACUUUUUUACAUAAUAUUUUCAUAUGACUCACCGACAAAUUCCCGCGAAGGUUCAGCUGUUGCCAGACGCAGCGUCUCUUCAAUGUGAGACCGAUCUCUUGCAGCACGACCUGAGGGUUUUUUUUUCUCCACUGCCAGAGGAAAAAUAUAGCCAUCAUAAAACCUGAAUCUCAUAUCAUCAUAACAUUUUAUUUAAUGUGGAUGGCUCCCACAAAACAAGGUUAUUAUUGGAUUGCAUUUUAAAUUUUUUCUAAAUGCUAUUUUCAAAAUACAUUCACUUUUUUAUUUUAGGGACUAUUUUGUAUUUUCAUUUCAGUGGCAUUCUUUGUAGUUAAGGAAUCAGUUGUGGAAUCAACAGAUUAUUGCCACAGUUUAAAUUUACAUCUGAAGUAAACAAGAUCUCUGAGGAAAGAAGCUGCAUCUGUAUUUACACUAGAAUCACAAUCAAAGGAAACAAUGUAUCAGCUCAAUGAGUUGCUUGUUGAUUUACGUGCACAGCUAAAAGCUAAAAAAAAGGCCAGUUUAGACCAUGGUUAGUGAUAUACUAGUCAUAGUGAUUUAUUUAUUUUCAUAUUACUUGACAAUAAUAACAUGGCUCCAAAACAGAAUACAACUGUCAUUUUGGGUCCAUCUACUGCAGCCUCUACAUCAGCUCUAUUUGGAGCCAUUUAAACACAAUCAUUGGACUAUUAAAAGCAUCUGAAACAUUUCUUCCCCAUUACAAAACUGUCCCUGCAGGCCAGAGAACAUAUUGUUAUGAUUGGCAAUGGACAUGUGCCAAGGGUUAUUUCUGUUAGGUUAUUUUGGUGGUGAGUUUAUUCUUGUGCCACCUUUGACCAAAGUAUCAGGUGGAGAAGCACAAGGAACUGACUUUUACAAUAGUGCCCCCUAACGGCGGGACAACAACAUAGCUCAUUCUUGGGUUAUUUCCACUAUAAUGGGGUUUAACCCAGGGGUAGGCAAGUUCGGUACUAGAGAGCCGCUGUCCUGCUGAGUUUAGCUCCAACCUUAAUCAAACACACCUGAACAAGCAAAUUAAGCUCUUCAGGAUUACUAAGGCUAUAGGCAGCUGAAGGUUUUUUUUUUUUCAGGGUUGGAGCUAAACUCUGCAGGACAUCGGCUCUCUAGGACCGAACUUGCCUACCCCUGGUUUAACCAGACACUUUGUGAUGAUUCUGAAGCUCUUUAUUAUUCGAUUUUAAAUUAGAGUAAAGGUAGCAUUAGUAAGAAUUCUGUGAAAUUUUGCAAAAGUGGUCCACUGUAUAUUGUCAAAGUAUUUUCUAAAAUUUGUUGAUUAGUUUCGUCAAACAGCGGCAGAGGUGCAGUCACAUUUACUGUUGUUCAGUGAAUUUUUUAAUGGGCAAAAUCCAGUAAUUUCUACAAGGAUCCAUGCAAUUGUGAAUUAGCAUGAGGGCAAAAGGUUUCAACACAAAGUUUUUGCAACAGGUUCAAGUUGGUCAUGUAGAUUUGCUUCAUUGACCAACACAAAUCUGCUGUUUUUUCUAAAUUUUAGAAAGCUGAUUCCAAUUCAUCAAUUAGACAUUCUCUUAUUAUUUCAUAUUAACAUUAAAUGUUCAAUAUUAUUAACACUGACUGAAUUAAAGUGUACCUUUGGCAGAUGCCUUGGGUGCUGGUAUAUCAUCUGACACUUCUUCCACCGUUACUUCUUCAGCAGGUGCAGGAAUUUCUUCUUGGAUAAUAAUUUGUUCCGGAGUUGGUUCCACAAGCUCCUCGGUUACCUCGUGGGCCAAUUCAACAACCUCCUCAACAUCAUCAUCUCCUGCUAGUUCCUCAGCCUCUUCUGUUUCCACCA